GGGGAAGCCUGCAGGGCACUUCAGCUUAGGAGCAUGGCAGUAAGGAUUCUAUAUGCAUACGGCAUUCUGAGUUGCAUAGCAAAGGAGGCUAUUUGUGGGAAAUGCAUCUGGGAAUUGGAUAUCCACAAGAAUUUGCCCUGAAGAUCUGCUUUGAAGACCUAAGCACAGGCAGUCAAGGGACAGAAGUAUAGACAAAUAAGAUGUGCUAAUGGAAGCAGCUCAGUUUUCAUCACAGGUUUCUAAAGCAGGACACUUGAAAAGAAAACUACAUAUUUUGACAGAGGAAGAAAGAAAAUAAAGUUUUGAAGGCAUAUGUGUUUCUGGGCUUGCACUGACUUACUUCAAAGGUAGAACACCACUGGAGACCGCAGAACUGUAAAUAAAUGUUCAUUUUUCAUCAGAAUAAUACUUAAUGCCAUAUUGUGUUCACAGUGAUAUUACAUUCUUUACUCAUACAUGUCUUCAUGCUUUGGAUUUUAAAAUCUCAAGGACAUCAUGAUCUGAUUCUUGCUCGAAGUGAGAUCUCACUCAAUUUUACAACUUGCUUCAGCAGAAAAAUCCUGAAAAUCCAUCAGAAAAAAAACGAUGUUCUAAAAAUAAAAUAUUUUCCAGGCACCUACCUGUUUCAAAAAUCUUCUGACAAAGUGUGAACGACAUCCUGAUGAAAUUCUGCUUUUUUCCCAAACAUCUUGCCUGCCCAGGGAGCCAGGUCUCCAAGACCUCUUGCUCUGUGAGAGCAUUUCUGUGUUGAAAGGGAGGCAGGAGACUCAGGGCUUAGCCUUCCAUAUUUCAUCUAGGUUUGAAAGCACCAGUUUUGAACACCUUCAAAUAGUUUUCUUUUCCCUCUUUGGGAGACUUACGAUGUUUACUCAAAGUGAAAUUAAUUAUUUUUCCCCAGCACUUCUGAACAUGUUGUGGAACACAAAUACCAGCUUUCAAACAGCGUAAAGCAGAGGAGAAAAAUCAACACAUGCCUUUCAGUCAUUAAGAAACAGUAUGAAAUGAGACAAGUCUUUCUUGCACAUUGUCAAAUGUGUGCAUUUUGGGGAAAAUUUCAGUAAAUUAAUGAAUGUGUUGAAUUCACAUUAAAACUUCCAUUGAACAGUGCUUGUAUUGCAAUACUUAACAAAUGUUGCCUGUGUUAUAUGGAGCAGAAGAAAAUUAGCUGCAGUUUGGGGUGAGGAGAAUGUAUAAUUUGAUACUGGCAGUGCUUCCCAAGGAAUGUUAGACAGUGGGUUUGUAAUUUUUUGACUGAAUUUAAGGAUGAAUCAAUUGAUCAGGACAAGUGGACCUAUUAAAAUUGCAGUUUAAUAUUUUAUCUUUACAGAUCACAUUAUGUUACAUGGUCUUAAAAACAGAUGAUACUUUUAAAGAGAAUGCUUUCUGUCUAAACUAGGACUAUGGAAAGAUAUAGAAAAAAUGCUUACUAACAAGGUAAACUGUACUGAAAUGGGUGUAUUUGGGGGAUAUUAAGAACAAAGAUUGAGGUCAAUCCUGUAAAUGCAGAUAGGUAAGGCAGCUGUCUUGGACCCCUCCUGCAGAGUAACAGCUUCAAGUGGCAGUCACCAUUAGUUAGUUGAUUUGUAUUUCAUGGGACAGAAGGGUAAGAGUAAGCUAGUGAGACCACACCCUGCUCUUACUACAGUAAAGGUAUCCUACCCUAUACAAAAUCAAAAUUUUAUAUGAUUGCUUAUGAGUUAAAUGGAUGCAGGACAAAAAGGUCAAGCAAUCACAUUAACUUCAUUUGUAGAACUGGAGAGGAACAAAGAGAAGAUUACCAUAUACAUGUAUAUUAUUUAUUUAUUUUAGGGUAAACUAGUAUGUUCUGAUCCUAAACAAAACUAACUUCCAAUUAGCCUGGAAAGGCUACUUUAGCUUCUGAAAUAAAUUCAGUGGAAAGGAGGUCAUUGGAAGGGCAACAUCAUGGAGAUGGAAACAGCUUGAGAACCACCGAGAGCAUGCAGCAUCUCUUCCCAGCAUCCCCAUUUGCUGCAUGGAAAUCACAAUGUGCUGCCUAUUAUCCAUCUGCAACUGUCUUCGAAUGUGUUGGCACCUAACGUAAUAGGACUUUGCCCCAAAUACUCACUUCUGCUGCCUUCAUGAUGGUUUCUGCCAUGGCUGAUCAUCUUUUCUAAGCUGCCUUGUUAAGUCAGAGUGUAUAUUUGUGAAUUAUUCCUUAACAUAGAAAUGCUUUGAAAAGAGAUUUAGGAAAUGCUUCUAGUUUUUGGAUGUUUACCAACAACCAAAACAGUAAACACUGUCAUGUUUAGCAUGGCACGUGUGUAUAAUUGUGACAUUGCUCAGCUUUAAAAACAGUGUGUGAUAACAAUUUUGUAUUUAAAUAAAAUAGCACAACU